rnacentral:misc_RNA from 1 species
CUCACGGAACGCACUUUCCCUUAUUUCGUGCAUUCGUUGCCUUGCACAGCGAAACACCCAGCGGUGACACCCCCAUCCCCCUCUAUCCCUUUCUCUCCACAGGCACGCACGCCAGUAGCCAUAAAGCCGCAUAUGCAGUUUCCCACACCCAGUGAUUCGCCUUCCUCGCUUGUUAUUCUUUCCAUACGUUGUACCCGGCACAUUGGCCGAGCCGUUGAGUAGCGCUGAUGCCGGCAGUCUACACCAGGGAUCAGGUGGCGGAGCACAACAGCAAGGAGAGUGGCUGGCUCAUCAUCAAUAACGGCGUGUACGAUGUGAGCGAUUUCUACGACGACCACCCUGGAGGUCGCGACAUUCUUCUCGCUCACAUUGGCACCGAUGCCACGGAGGGCUUCGAGGCGGUAAACCACAGCAGAGGAGCCAUGCGCAGGCUAGAGAAGCUCAAGGUUGGCGAGCUGCCCGAAAACGAGCGUCGCCGCUACAUCACCCUGGAGCAGGUCGCUGCCAAAAAGUCGGCUGCCGGCGCGUGGCUCGUCAUCCAUAACAAAGUAUACGAUGUCACCCCGUUUCUGGACCUGCAUCCCGGCGGCCGCGACAUCUUGCUCUACAGCGCCGGCGGUGACGCGACGCAGGCCUUCACGGACAACGGGCACAGCGACACGGCCUAUCAAAUGAUGGGCAAAUACGUCGUUGGCGAUCUGGAGCCGAGUGAGCGCAAGACGCUCGUCAACCGAAAGGCCACAGGCGCGAAACAGGCAGCUACGACGCAGAUGCUUCACGUGAAGAACGAGAACGCAUCCCUCCUUCUCCACAUUCAGGAGCAGCUGAGGCUGCUCAUGGCUCUGGCACUAUUCGUCAUCGCGGGCGUCUUCCUUCUCAGCUAGAGUGAUAACGAAAGGCGGAAGUGCAACGCUGCCCCAGCCACCGGGUGCGCUCGUGCGCACCCCUGAGGCGGUCUGUGAGAGAAGCCGACUGUAGUGCGGCUGCCCAAUACUCGGCUGUACACAAACACGCGAAGGGCGGAAGGCAUGCAAGCAGCGUGGGUGCGAGAGGAAUGGAGGGUGUGAGGGGACUGCGACGAAAGAAAAGAUGCGGAGAAGGCCGAUAAACAGCAGCAACUCAAAGUAGGCGCCUUUUCAUGUCUGCGCGCGUGGCGGUGUCCGGUGGUCCUCAUUCUCCUGCACGUGGUCUCUCCCUCGCCCGGUGCUCGCUGGCCACAUGAGUCUCCGGCAUUUUGUUUGCUUUAUUUCUUUGUUGUCUCUCGUUCCGCCCGUCGACCCCCCCCCUUUUUAACCCGACCUGCGGCGUUCUCUCGUCAUCGUCGCCAUCGUCGUCUCUCUUCGAGUGUGUGUGUACUGCUGUCUCUGUGUCCGUCUGUGUUGCUCUCACUUUCGCAUCGCAGCUCCGCGCGUCCCCUCCCGCCGCGCUUUCAUGCUUUGCUCUCGUUGAGGUGAAGCGCUGGACACACGCCUUACGGCAAAAAUCCGCCCCUCCCCCCCUCCCCGCACCCGACGCCGUCGGCGGAGCACCGCCUCCGCCCCCAAAACGCUGCCCACACACAUCCACCUAGCCGCUCCGCUGGGCGGCCUCACACCCGCUCCCCAAUCAUGCCGGCCACCACCCCUGGUGCAUCCCGCCCCGCCCCAUCGCGGGGGCUCAGGCACCCCGCACGAGUGGGCCGUGCGAGGGCCGCGGGUGUGGGCCGCGCUGGCGCGUUGCCCAUCAUAUGGAUGGCGCAAGCGUGCUCACCGCCGGCAUCUGCUGCGAUGGAUCGCGUUAUCCUCGCCACGUCGCAGGCGCCGGGCCCCAUCAUGACGAGAGGCGGUUCGGCAUGGGCGUGGGAUAGGAGGGGGUGGGGGAGUGCACCGGGCCCUGCGAUACCGCACCCUGAGGCUUAUGUGUGUCCUCCGCACCCCCCCCCCCCGGUUAUGAAGGACGAAGAAUAAAGGAGGAGAAGAGGUGCCUCAAGCUCUUCUCCCCCCUCUCCCCCAAAGCAAACGAAGCGAGCAGGCCGGGGCGGACACACCGUAUUCCGUCUGUGAGGAGCAGUGGUGCUCAGCAGGGAUGCAGCAGCGGGCUUCUUCGUCACGCUCAGGCUGUGCGUGCGGAUGCCUGUGCUGCUGCGCUAUCUUGGUUUCUCAGCUGAGGCACUGCCGCCAACAUCACUGCAUCCCGCGCAUGCUAAAGGCACGGGACGUGGAAGCGGCUCGGCAAAGUCUCCGUGUGCGGGGAAGAAUGGAGUGAUGAGCACGGCACGCGUACGUGUGUGUCUGUGUGCGUUGAGCUCUCUGUGUGAGAACGCCAGUGAGGAU